rnacentral:lncRNA from 1 species
AUGGCCAUUAGAGGAGGAAUUGUCUACUCUACCUGGAGAGCCUAAAGACUAAAAAGGGUGACAAACCUUUAGAGAGUGUGCUCGUAAUUAAACAGAACCUAACGAUUUCUUCUACUUCUAGUUGGAUGUUGGACUCUGGUUCUAGUACUUAUAUAUAUACUUCAAUAUAGGGUUUAAUAGAAAGUAGGAGGUUGAGGAAGG